rnacentral:tRNA from 2 species
GAACCCGUAGCUUAAUAGGUCAAAGCGUCCGCCUUUUAAGCGGAGGAGUCUGGGUUCAAGUCCCAGCGGGUUCACCA